rnacentral:rRNA from 1 species
UACGUAGGGGGCAAGCGUUGUCCGGAAUCAUUGGGCGUAAAGCGCGUGUAGGCGGCUCGAUAAGUCUGCUGUGAAAGUCCAGGGCUCAACCCUGGGAUGCCGGUGGAUACUGUCGAGCUCGAGUCCGGAAGAGGCGAGUGGAAUUCCUGGUGUAGCGGUGAAAUGCGUAGAUAUCGGAAGGAACACCAGUGGCGAAAGCGGCUUCCUGGUCCGACACCGACGUUCAGGCACGAAAGCGUGGGGAGCAAACAGG